GAGUUUGAUCGUGGCUCAGAUUGAACGCUGGCGGCAGGCCUAACACAUGCAAGUCGAGCGGUAGAGAGAAGCUUGCUUCUCUUGAGAGCGGCGGACGGGUGAGUAAUGCCUAGGAAUCUGCCUGGUAGUGGGGGAUAACGCUCGGAAACGGACGCUAAUACCGCAUACGUCCUACGGGAGAAAGCAGGGGACCUUCGGGCCUUGCGCUAUCAGAUGAGCCUAGGUCGGAUUAGCUAGUUGGUGAGGUAAUGGCUCACCAAGGCGACGAUCCGUAACUGGUCUGAGAGGAUGAUCAGUCACACUGGAACUGAGACACGGUCCAGACUCCUACGGGAGGCAGCAGUGGGGAAUAUUGGACAAUGGGCGAAAGCCUGAUCCAGCCAUGCCGCGUGUGUGAAGAAGGUCUUCGGAUUGUAAAGCACUUUAAGUUGGGAGGAAGGGCAGUAAAUUAAUAACUUUGCUGUUUGACGUUACCGACAGAAUAAGCACCGGCUAACU
rnacentral:rRNA from 1 species